rnacentral:tRNA from 1 species
GCGACGGUAGUCUAAUGGUUAGGACGCUACCCUGCCACGGUGGCAAUCCGGGUUCGAAGCGAGGGACUGAAAAAUGACAAUCUCUCACGAAUUUCCCGGCCGUCGCA